UUGGAGGGCAAGUCUGGUGCCAGCAGCCGCGGUAAUUCCAGCUCCAAUAGCGUAUAUUAAAGUUGUUGCAGUUAAAAAGCUCGUAGUUGAAUUUCGGGGUCAGUAGGUCGGUCGUGCCACUGGUAUGAACUGGUUUUACUGAUUCCUCCCUCUUGAAGAACUGUAAUGCCAUUAAUUUGGUGUUGCAGGGAAUCAGGACUGUUGCUUUGAAAAAAUUAGAGUGUUUAAAGCAGGCUUUAGCUUGAAUACAUUAGCAUGAAAUAAUGAAAUAGGACGUUUGAUCCUAUUUUGUUGGUUUCUAGGAUUGACGUAAUGAUUAAUAGGGAUAGUUGGGGGCAUUAGUAUUCAAUUGUCAGAGGUGAAAUUCUUGGAUUUAUUGAAGACUAACUACUGCGAAAGCAUUUGCCAAGGAUGCUUUCAUUAAUCAAGAACGAAAGUUAGGGGAUCGAAGACGAUCAGAUACCGUCGUAGUCUUAACCAUAAACUAUGCCGACUAGGGAUCGGAUGAUGUUAAUUUUUUAAUGACUCAUUCGGCGCCUUACGGGAAAC
rnacentral:rRNA from 1 species